rfam:Schistosoma haematobium scaffold879_4, whole genome shotgun sequence.
AUCCAGCUGAUGAGUCUUAAAUAGAACUAAACGCGCGUCCUGGAU